ACAAGAUGGCUGCCGUCGGCCCAUUGCCGCCGCCUUCUCUGUUUAGGCCUAAAAUGUCAAACAUGUUUUUAUUCUCUCGUUAUAGUUACGUGUCUUUUUGAUAAAAAUUAAAAAUGAUUGUCAGUUGUUCAUAGUAAAAGGUGUUACUAGUAUUUUAAAGAAAUCUAUGGUGAUAUCGGUGUCGAUUGAAGGGUUAUCUACUGGCAAGCGGGCGAUUAGCGGGAGGGCUUGGAUCGUGUGGUGCCACCCUAAUUUUUUCAUGUCCGACCCCACCCCUUCAAAAAAUGCUCAGCCCAUUUAAUCGCUUGGUGGCUGUGGAAUGAAACAGUUGUGGACUGAUCUCUAUAGGGUCGUCGGGUGGUGCGGCGCGCGCCGCGCACAGGGCGCAAUCGAUGGCGGGCCGGGAGCGCGCCCCGACGCCGGCGGCAGACCCACAGACGCCCGCGGACGCCGUGCCUGCCACACGUCCAGCUCGCGCGCCGCCGCGCCCGAGCCUUGUUCCAAUGUUUACUUGUCGGAACAGCUGACCGACCGGAGGAAGUCCCUGAGGUGCUGUUACAAGUGAGCGCUGCGGUACCUAAGCUUUCAAGAUAUUGCGUGGGCUGCAAUAUUAUCACAGAUUUUGUCCAUUUCACUACUUUGUAUGAAGUCCUAAGCCUACUUUACUCAAUAUGAAUCUUAACUAGGAAUAACAAAGACAUCUUCUUAAAAUUACUUUUUAAAAUUAAAUCUUACCAUAUUUCAGAUGGGAGGCAGAAGAGAAGAGAAGAGAAUGCGUCGCCUUCUGUACGUAUACUGAAUGUAUCCUGAGUGUCAGAUUCUUUCCGGUAUACCUUCAGUAUACGUAACAGAAGAUGGCACGUGUCAACGCUCGAAGACCAGACCCAGAAGGCUCCUCGUCGAAGUUGCAUCUUCUUUAUUCUUGUUGUUUCUUGCUAUUUUUUUUAAAUAGCUUUUAACUUUAUUUUAGUUGUAAUGAACAUUUUAUGAAAUUCAAUUUACAAAACAAUAUUUUUGCAUACUAGAAUAGGUAUAAUACAGCUCUAGCCUAGGUUAGUAAAAAAAUAUUUUAAAGAUGCUUUUACAUUUUCAAUCAUUAUUAACGAUUGGUAUCCAACACACAAUAAUAAAAGGUUGUAGUAGGUAGAUACCGAUGUAGGUAUAAUAUUGGUUUGCAUUGUAUACCUAUGUACCUAUUAUCAUAAAAAAAACAUUUUUGAUGAAUCCUAAGAAGGUAGGUAGGUACUACUUACGCAGGAGAUUUUGUUUCUCUAUUGUAGGAUCUUCGUCUUACAUUGUAUUUUGAAUACCUACACAUAUUAUUGCUAUAAUUAAAUGUAGUAAAUUUGUGUUAGGUAAUUUAUAACUUUUCCUAUAGUAAGGACAUAUUUUAUUAUAUACCGAUACAAUCUUUAUGAUACAAUAAAAUUCUGAAUUAAUAUUAUAACUUUAUGUAUCUAAUCGUAAGUUUUAUGUAAGUAUCUACCUACUUUCUUAUAGGUAUAUCUAGGUACAUAGGUAAAGCUUAUAGGUAUAGAUUAUAAAUUAUAGACCUUUAGUUAUUAUAAUAAACGAGUUUUAUUAUAAUAAUAUUAAUAAUACAUACCUUAAA